rnacentral:rRNA from 1 species
GAUAAACGCUGGCGGCGUGCAUGAGACAUGCAAGUCGAACGGACGACCUCGGGCUUGCCCCGGGGAAGUUAGUGGCGGACGGCUGAGUAACGCGUGGGUGACCUGCCCGGAAGUGGGGAAUAACUGCCCGAAAGGGUGGCUAAUACCGCAUGUGGUCACACGUUCAUUCGUGUGAUCAAAGCAGCGAUGCGCUUCCGGAGGGGCCUGCGUUCGAUUAGCUCGUUGGUGAGGUAACGGCUCACCAAGGCGACGAUCGAUAGGUGGUCUGAGAGGACGAUCACCCAGACUGGGACUGAGACACGGCCCAGACUCCUACGGGAGGCAGCAGUCGGGAAUUUUGCUCAAUGGGCGCAAGCCUGAAGCAGCAACGCCGCGUGAGGGAUGAAGGCCUUCGGGUUGUAAACCUUUUUUCUCAGGGAAGAUAAUGACGGUACCUGAGGAAUAAGCCACGGCUAACUACGUG